ACAUACGACCAUAGGGUGUGGAGAACAGGGCUUCCCGUCCGCUCAGCCGUACUUAAGCCACACGCCGGGAGGUUAGUAGUUGGGUGGGUGACCACCAGCGAAUCCCUCCUGUUGUAUGUG
rfam:Aspergillus oryzae strain BCC7051 OAory_C06, whole genome shotgun sequence.